rnacentral:rRNA from 1 species
AUGUCUUCACCCGCAGAGUACUACAAUUCACUUCCACCAAUAAGCAAGGCAUAUGGAACAUUGUGUUUCUUUACCACAGUGCUGGUUCAGCUCCAGAUACUAGACCCAGGCCUUCUUUAUUUAUCUUAUCCCUAUGUGUUCAAGAGUUUUCAGAUAUGGAGGCUAUUUACAAGCUUCUUUUUCCUGGGCAAGUUCUCCAUCAACUUUGGUAUUCGCCUUCUGAUGAUAGCAAGAUAUGGUGUGCAGUUGGAGAAGGGUUCAUUUGAGAAGCGGGCAGCAGAUUUCUUGUGGAUGAUGAUAUUUGGUGCAAUCUCGUUACUGGUACUGUCUGCUAUUCCCUAUCUCGAGACUUAUUUGUUGGGCAUUCCUAUGGUUAGCAUGCUUCUUUAUGUCUGGAGCCGAGAGUACCCAAACUCUCAGAUAAGCAUGUAUGGCCUCGUCCAAUUGAGGUCAUUUUAUCUACCAUGGGCUAUGCUUGGAUUGGAUGUGAUAUUUGGCUCUCCAAUACUGCCUGGCCUUUUGGGCAUUAUGGUUGGACAUCUGUACUACUUCUUUACAGUGUUGUAUCCGCUAGCUAGCGGAAAGAACUACCUCAAGACUCCUAUGUGGGUACACAAGAUUGUUGCUCGAUUCAGGUUGGGCGUGCAGGCAAACUCUCCAGUCCGGCCAGCUAACACAGGCCCUACUGCCUUCAGAGGAAGAGGCUAUAGACUCAACCAGUAG